GGGGAAGGACUCAAGUGGAUGAAGAGGUGCCCCUGCUAAGGGUAUAGGUCGAACGCGCGGCGCGGGGGUUCAAAUCCCUCCUUCUCCG
rnacentral:tRNA from 1 species